AUAUUNUAUAUAUCGAAGNCCUUNNGAUGUCCUGAUGAACUGUUUGACGGUAUACAUAUGGUAUUGAGCCGCAAUUAUUUGCGUUAGNCUUACCGCAAGUAUGANUUUAUUCUGGUAGUGCGGAUCUAAUGCCGUCGCUGGUCAAAGUCCGCUGUUNGCUGGUAAUGUCUUUAACUGGCUUAUUUACCGGUUAGCGAUGCUACUGCUUUGGGUACUUACAGGACCCGUCUUGAAACACGGACCAAGGAGUCUAACAUGUGCGCGAGUCAUUGGGAUAUAUUUAUAUAAUUCAAACCUAAACGCGCAAUGAAAGUAUAGGUUUCUUACGACAAUUGAGGGAAAAUGGGUUACGUUACGAUGUAAUUCCGCA
rnacentral:rRNA from 1 species